rnacentral:misc_RNA from 1 species
CCUGAGUCGAUUGUUGGUUGUUCCGAGAAGUUUUUGGCCGUUCGCAACUCCGCCCCCUAAUCGGUGUUGGCCGCGCAUGGCACCGGUCGGGCUUGAAAAGACAAUCAAGCCUGUCGAUGACGAGGUACCUAGCGUAGGGUUUUUUNNNNNNNNUUUUUCGAAAAAAAAACUUUACGAUAGGUAUUGAGUCAUCAACAUGCGUGGGGCGGUCGGUUUCGUUGCUUCGGAUCUUGCGUAUUUUCUAGAUGGACGUAAUUCGUUAAUCAUUCUUCGUUAGUGACCCGACUUAAUUGCCAUUUGCCAGCGUUUACGAGCGAUGUCGGUUGAGCUUUGCUCCGGCUUAGACUGCAAAAUAUACGUAUUGGGUAGCGUUACGGGCCAUGUUGGUCGAGCUUUGCUCGACCUAGACUGCCGGUAUAAAACGCAGGCAACCGUGGACNAGCGAUGUUGGUUGAGCUUUGCUCCGGCCUGACUGCUAGUUACACGGAUGUAUGUUACUCGGGGCAUGUUUAGCGAAUUCACUGAACUCGAUGUAAAUACACCAGCAAGAGAUGAUGCAACGUAGCUCACCGUUUGGUUUCCUGAUUUCGUAUCGUUCGGUGCAUUCUGGGGCUGUUUUGGCUUUUGGUUGCUUGCUUCGCUUUAGGCAAAGCGGGUGGCUACUAGUCGGGGUGGCUUCGGGGAUGUUCUCCGUAAAGGUGCAUGAGUGGUGUUUGGUUUGUUACGUGUGGUUGGCUGCGGCGCUUGCAACAACUUCCACGCUCUCAUACCUCUUCAGUAGUGCGGCAAGGCUUGUAUCGCCUUGAGCGUAAUGUGGGUUUUCUGUGUUUUAUACCUAAUCAACGGUAUCGGUUGGAUAGAUAAAAAGUUGCUUUUCGCCUUGCGUUGCAUUUGCGGCGUGAGGUGAACCUGAAUGCGUUCUCUUUGGUCCACCUUGUCGCAGCACAAGCUUCGGCAUUGUGGCACAUUGAGUAUUGCUUGGUUUCUUGUAUACGGAACAUAAUGNGGGCAUGGAUCUAACGAUUCUUGUUUGCCCUUGUUUCAGCGUUCUCGCUUCUUUAAAACGACU